rnacentral:rRNA from 1 species
CCUACGGGUGGCAGCAGUAGGGAAUUGUUCGCAAUGGGCGAAAGCCUGACGACGCAACGCCGCGUGGAGGAUGAAGAAUUUCGGUUCGUAAACUCCUUUCGACCAAGAUAAACACCUGUCGACCUAAUACGUUGGCAGGCUGAUAGUAUUGAGAGAAGAAGCCCCGGCUAACUCCGUGCCAGCAGCCGCGGUAAUACGGGGGGGGCAAGCGUUGUUCGGAAUUACUGGGCGUAAAGGGUUCGUAGGUGGCCAACUAAGUCAGACGUGAAAUCCCUCAGCUCAACUGGGGAACUGCGUCUGAUACUGGUGUGGCUUGAGUGCAGGAGAGGAACGCGGAAUUCCAGGUGUAGCGGUGAAAUGCGUAGAUAUCUGGAGGAACACCGGUGGCGAAGGCGGCGUUCUGGACUGCAACUGACACUGAGGAACGAAAGCCAGGGGAGCAAACGGGAUUAGAUACCCGUGUAGUC